rnacentral:lncRNA from 1 species
GUGGGUACGAGAUAACUACAAUUCUCAUGCAUCCGAAAAGGGGUCAUCACAGACAAACAUGACACUAAAUCGUUAUCACUGAACUAUAUAUAUAUUGUAUAGGAGCCAGCUGAAGGACGCCUCCGGGUGCGGGAAUUUUUCGCUGCAUUGAAGACCUGUUGGUGACCUUAAUUCUGCUGUUGUAUGUUUUUCUAUGGUCGGGUUGUUGUCUCUUUGACAAAUUCCCCAUUUCCAUUCUCAAUUUUAUUAUACGAACAAGAACAAACAGCUCUACGUUGCUUUGAUAUUUAUCAAUUUUCAGGAAACAUUGCGAAACAUGAUC